rnacentral:lncRNA from 1 species
CACCCUUACUAGCCUCUAAGGUACAAAUGUAUGAUAUAUGCUUAGCUAAUAAGAUAUGCUUGUGUAAAAUUUUGGCUCAGAAAUAAGCUAUGGAAGAAAUAGGUGAGGUUCUAAAUAUUUGUUCUGUUGGCUUAAGUGGCAGGAGAGGCAGUAAGGAUACGGAUGGGUUGUAGCAAUAGUCCCUGUACCAAGUAAGUACUGUGGUAUCCUGAGAAGUGACCAUUAGCCUAAAUACUGCUCCUCCUACUGUUCCAGUGACUCUGAGAUUUUCUGCAUCCCUUAAUAAAUCUCUUUCUCUCUCAAGCAGCUGGAGUAGAUUCUGUUGUCUGCAACAGGGGGAGAACGUAUAUCAUGAAAGAGGACUAUUCUGUAUAAAACAUUUGUUUUGAUGAAGUGGAGAGUACACCUGAUUUUGUUCUAAAUGGACAGAUGUAUGCAGCCAUUUACAAGGGGAUGCAUCCAAAGCGUUACCUGCCCUGCUGAGAUGGACUUGAGCAUAUGAGGAAAAGUAGAUCUAUCCAACCGUUCACCCACCAACUCACCCUUCUGUGCAUCCAUCACAGACAAGUAAACUCUGUGCCCAAAGUGAGACUUGAACUCAUCACCCUGAGGUUGAGUCACAUGCACUUCCGACGGAGACAGCCAGGUGCUCCAAAGACAACUUUUUUUAAACCACCUUUUACCGAGUACCUUCCAUGGACCAGGCACUGCGGUCAGUACUGUACAAAUGGGCUUUCAUUUAAUCUUCA